rnacentral:rRNA from 1 species
GACGAACGCUGGCGGCGUGCUUAACACAUGCAAGUCGAACGGAAAGGCCCUGCUUGCAGGGUACUCGAGUGGCGAACGGGUGAGUAACACGUGGGUGAUCUGCCCUGCACUUCGGGAUAAGCCUGGGAAACUGGGUCUAAUACCGGAUAGGAGCCAUUUUUAGUGUGAUGGUUGGAAAGUUUUUUCGGUGUAGGAUGAGCUCGCGGCCUAUCAGCUUGUUGGUGGGGUAAUGGCCUACCAAGGCGGCGACGGGUAGCCGGCCUGAGAGGGUGGACGGCCACAUUGGGACUGAGAGACGGCCCAGACUCCUACGGGAGGCAGCAGGGGGGAAUAUUGCACAAUGGGCGCAAGCCUGAUGCAGCGACGCCGCGUGGGGGAUGACGGCCUUAGGGUUGUAAACUCCUUUCGCUAGGGACGAAGCUUUUUGUGACGGUACCUAGAUAAGAAGCACCGGCUAACUACGUG